GACGUAGGGGGCGAGCGUUGUCCGGAUUCAUUGGGCGUAAAGCGCACGUAGGCGGAUUGCUAAGUCAGGGGUGAAAUCCUGGAGCUCAACUCCAGAACUGCCUUUGAUACUGGCGACCUUGAGUCCGGGAGAGGUGAGUGGAACUGCGAGUGUAGAGGUGAAAUUCGUAGAUAUUCGCAAGAACACCAGUGGCGAAGGCGGCUCACUGGCCCGGUACUGACGCUGAGGUGCGAAAGCGUGGGGAGCAAACAGG
rnacentral:rRNA from 1 species